UACAGAGGGUGCAAGCGUUAAUCGGAAUUACUGGGCGUAAAGCGUGCGUAGACGGUUAUGUAAGUCAGGUGUGAAAGCCCCGGGCUCAACCUGGGAAUUGCAUUUGAGACUGCAUAGCUAGGGUGCGGAAGAGGGAAGCGGAAUUUCCGGUGUAGCGGUGAAAUGCGUAGAUAUCGGAAGGAACAUCAGUGGCGAAAGCGGCUUCCUGGUCCAGCACCGACGUCAGGCACGAAAGCGUGGGGAGCAAACAGGG
rnacentral:rRNA from 1 species